CAGAUUGCUGGCUUAAUUUUUUUUUUUUUUUGUCUUUUUGAGACAGGGUCUCGCUCUGCAGUCCUGGCUGGUCUCGAUCUCCCAGCGAUCCCCCUGCCUCAGCCUCCCGAGUGCUGGGAUGACAAGCGCGUACCUGCAUGCUGGCUCAGAUUUGCUUUUGAUUCCUGCACUCGAUUCCUUUGCAUUUGCCUCUGCCUACUGUACAGGGCUGGAACCCCACGGCUGCCACCACCACAUGUGUGUGUCAGGGAGAGACAGGCAGAGUCCAGGCUAAAGGGGAAGUGAUUUGGGGGACUCGGACCCACUACUUUCCCACCAGUCUCCGGAGCGCCACCCUGCAGACCGCGUAAGGACACCGGCUCCCCCUAGCGGCCAAGAGGCCGUUGCUUUUGCAGCUCAAAUCCGCGGAGCAUUGGAUCUCAGCCGGGGUUCUGGGCAGCGUCGCUGUCCUCAGGCCUCCAGUGGACACCCCACUCGCCCUGGAGGACGAGCAGGGACCUGAGCCCACGACACUCUCUCCCUCCAGACCAGACGUCCACUGGAGCACGGGGAAGGGCGGGAGGCCGGGCCAUCCACACCUGCUGGUCACAGCGGCCCAGAGCCCCUGGAGGACCAGGAAGCCUUCUCUGCCGCCACCCUCCAAGCCUCUUGGCUUCAAUUUAUCAUCAAGUCCCUAAACCAGUUCCAAGUCCCACUGUGUGGCUUCGGUGGCACGGGACAUGUUUCUCAGCACCGCAGUGCACGUCUGUGGAGUCCAUGCUGUCCCUCCUGAGCCCAGCAUCCUCCCCGCCCGCUCUGGGAGAGCAUUUCUGAGGGAAUGUGAAGAAACAGUGCUGGGAGUCAAACUCGGGGCCUUGGACCCAUGAGGAACAGCAAGGAGCUCCACUGCUUUAAAAAUUCCAGAUCUGGGGGCUGGCGAUAUAGCUCAGUGGCACAAGUGCCUGUCUGGCAAGCAUAAGGUCCUGAGUUCAACUUCUGAUACCAAAAUAAAUAUCCCAGAUCCCUCUGGGUGAAUGAUUUGGGGAUGUUGUCCCCUGAUUGAUGUA